GAUGAAGAACGUAGUGAAAUGCGAUAAGUAAUGUGAAUUGCAGAAUUCAGUGAAUCAUCGAAUCUUUGAACGCACAUUGCGCCCCUUGGUAUUCCGAGGGGCAUGCCUGUUCGAGCGUCAUUAUCACCCCUCAAGCUUUGCUUGGUGUUGGGGCCUGCUGUAAUAGGCAGCCCUUAAAAUCAGUGGCGGUGCUUCAAGGCUCUAAGCGUAGUAAUUCUCCUCGCUAUAGUGUCUAGUGGUUGCCAGCCAGAACCCCCCAAUUUUCAUGAUUGACCUCGGAUCAGGUAGGGAUACCCGCUGAACUUAAGCAUAUCAAUAAGCGGAGGA
rnacentral:misc_RNA from 1 species